rnacentral:rRNA from 1 species
CCUACGGGAGGCAGCAGUGGGGAAUAUUGGACAAUGGGGGGAACCCUGAUCCAGCCAUGCCGCGUGUGUGAAGAAGGCCCUCGGGUUGUAAAGCACUUUCAGUGAGGAAGAACGCCUGGUGGUUAAUACCCAUCAGGAAAGACAUCACUCACAGAAGAAGCACCGGCUAACUCCGUGCCAGCAGCCGCGGUAAUACGGAGGGUGCGAGCGUUAAUCGGAAUUACUGGGCGUAAAGCGCGCGUAGGUGGCUUGAUAAGCCGGUUGUGAAAGCCCCGGGCUCAACCUGGGAACGGCAUCCGGAACUGUCAAGCUAGAGUGCAGGAGAGGAAGGUAGAAUUCCCGGUGUAGCGGUGAAAUGCGUAGAGAUCGGGCGGAAUACCAGUGGCGAAGGCGGCCUUCUGGACUGACACUGACACUGAGGUGCGAAAGCGUGGGUAGCAAACAGGAUUAGAUACCCUAGUAGUC